GGCGGACGGGUGAGUAACGCGUGAGCAAUCUGCCUUUAGGUGGGGGACAACAGCCGGAAACGGCUGCUAAUACCGCAUAAUGCAGCGAAGUCGCAUGGCUUUGCUGCCAAAGGAGCAAUCCGCCUUUAGAUGAGCUCGCGUCCCAUUAGAUAGUUGGCGGGGUAACGGCCCACCAAGUCGACGAUGGGUAGCCGGACUGAGAGGUUGAACGGCCACAUUGGGACUGAGACACGGCCCAGACUCCUACGGGAGGCAGCAGUGGGGAAUAUUGCGCAAUGGGGGAAACCCUGACGCAGCAACGCCGCGUGAUUGAAGAAGGCCUUCGGGUUGUAAAGAUCUUUAAUUCGGGACGAAUAAAUGACGGUACCGAAAGAAUAAGCUCCGGCUAACUACGUGCCAGCAGCCGCGGUAAUACGUAGGGAGCGAGCGUUAUCCGGAUUUACUGGGUGUA
rnacentral:rRNA from 1 species